GACGAACGCUGGCGGCGGGCUUAACACAUGCAAGUCGAACGGAAAGGCCCUACUUUUGUGGGUUGCUGGAGUGGCGAACGGGUGAGUAACACGUGAGUAACCUGUCCUUGAUUUUGGGGUAACUUCAGGAAACUAGGGCUAAUAACGGAUAGGAGCGCCUGCUGCAUGGAGGGGGGGGGAAAGCUUCGGCGGUUGGGGAUGGACUCGCGGCUUAUCAGCUUGUUGGUGGGGGAGUGGAGGCCCAAGGCUGUGGCGGGUCGCCGGCCCGGGAGGGUGACCGGCCACCUUGGUACUGAGAGACGGCGCAGUCUCCUACGUUAGACAGCGGUGGGGAAUAUUGCCCAAUGAUCGCGCGCCUGAUGAAACAGCGCUGCGUUCGGGAUGCCGGCCUUCUGGUUGUAAACCGCUGUCGCCUGUGACGCAGCUUUAGUGACGGUACUGGGUAAAUAAGCACCGGCUAACUACGUG
rnacentral:rRNA from 1 species